rfam:Prevotella sp. CAG:5226 genomic scaffold, scf1541
UCCAUCGCAAGAUGGAAUCUGAAGGAAGCCCAAGACAAACAUCUGACCUAACGAACAGAAACUUCAUAUAAGGCAUAUGACCGUGGAUAACUACUCAAAGUCUUGGUG